UUAAGCGACUAAGCGUACACGGUGGAUGCCCUGGCAGUCAGAGGCGAUGAAGGACGUGCUAAUCUGCGAUAAGCGUCGGUAAGGUGAUAUGAACCGUUAUAACCGGCGAUUUCCGAAUGGGGAAACCCAGUGUGUUUCGACACACUAUCAUUAACUGAAUCCAUAGGUUAAUGAGGCGAACCGGGGGAACUGAAACAUCUAAGUACCCCGAGGAAAAGAAAUCAACCGAGAUUCCCCCAGUAGCGGCGAGCGAACGGGGAGCAGCCCAGAGCCUGAAUCAGUGUGUGUGUUAGUGGAAGCGUCUGGAAAGGCGCGCGAUACAGGGUGACAGCCCCGUACACAAAAAUGCACAUAUUGUGAGCUCGAUGAGUAGGGCGGGACACGUGGUAUCCUGUCUGAAUAUGGGGGGACCAUCCUCCAAGGCUAAAUACUCCUGACUGACCGAUAGUGAACCAGUACCGUGAGGGAAAGGCGAAAAGAACCCCGGCGAGGGGAGUGAAAAAGAACCUGAAACCGUGUACGUACAAGCAGUGGGAGCACGCUUAGGCGUGUGACUGCGUACCUUUUGUAUAAUGGGUCAGCGACUUAUAUUCUGUAGCAAGGUUAACCGAAUAGGGGAGCCGAAGGGAAACCGAGUCUUAACUGGGCGUUAAGUUGCAGGGUAUAGACCCGAAACCCGGUGAUCUAGCCAUGGGCAGGUUGAAGGUUGGGUAACACUAACUGGAGGACCGAACCGACUAAUGUUGAAAAAUUAGCGGAUGACUUGUGGCUGGGGGUGAAAGGCCAAUCAAACCGGGAGAUAGCUGGUUCUCCCCGAAAGCUAUUUAGGUAGCGCCUCGUGAAUUCAUCUCCGGGGGUAGAGCACUGUUUCGGCAAGGGGGUCAUCCCGACUUACCAACCCGAUGCAAACUGCGAAUACCGGAGAAUGUUAUCACGGGAGACACACGGCGGGUGCUAACGUCCGUCGUGAAGAGGGAAACAACCCAGACCGCCAGCUAAGGUCCCAAAGUCAUGGUUAAGUGGGAAACGAUGUGGGAAGGCCCAGACAGCCAGGAUGUUGGCUUAGAAGCAGCCAUCAUUUAAAGAAAGCGUAAUAGCUCACUGGUCGAGUCGGCCUGCGCGGAAGAUGUAACGGGGCUAAACCAUGCACCGAAGCUGCGGCAGCGACGCUUAUGCGUUGUUGGGUAGGGGAGCGUUCUGUAAGCCUGUGAAGGUGUGCUGUGAGGCAUGCUGGAGGUAUCAGAAGUGCGAAUGCUGACAUAAGUAACGAUAAAGCGGGUGAAAAGCCCGCUCGCCGGAAGACCAAGGGUUCCUGUCCAACGUUAAUCGGGGCAGGGUGAGUCGACCCCUAAGGCGAGGCCGAAAGGCGUAGUCGAUGGGAAACAGGUUAAUAUUCCUGUACUUGGUGUUACUGCGAAGGGGGGACGGAGAAGGCUAUGUUGGCCGGGCGACGGUUGUCCCGGUUUAAGCGUGUAGGCUGGUUUUCCAGGCAAAUCCGGAAAAUCAAGGCUGAGGCGUGAUGACGAGGCACUACGGUGCUGAAGCAACAAAUGCCCUGCUUCCAGGAAAAGCCUCUAAGCAUCAGGUAACAUCAAAUCGUACCCCAAACCGACACAGGUGGUCAGGUAGAGAAUACCAAGGCGCUUGAGAGAACUCGGGUGAAGGAACUAGGCAAAAUGGUGCCGUAACUUCGGGAGAAGGCACGCUGAUAUGUAGGUGAGGUCCCUCGCGGAUGGAGCUGAAAUCAGUCGAAGAUACCAGCUGGCUGCAACUGUUUAUUAAAAACACAGCACUGUGCAAACACGAAAGUGGACGUAUACGGUGUGACGCCUGCCCGGUGCCGGAAGGUUAAUUGAUGGGGUUAGCGCAAGCGAAGCUCUUGAUCGAAGCCCCGGUAAACGGCGGCCGUAACUAUAACGGUCCUAAGGUAGCGAAAUUCCUUGUCGGGUAAGUUCCGACCUGCACGAAUGGCGUAAUGAUGGCCAGGCUGUCUCCACCCGAGACUCAGUGAAAUUGAACUCGCUGUGAAGAUGCAGUGUACCCGCGGCAAGACGGAAAGACCCCGUGAACCUUUACUAUAGCUUGACACUGAACAUUGAGCCUUGAUGUGUAGGAUAGGUGGGAGGCUUAGAAGUGUGGACGCCAGUCUGCAUGGAGCCGACCUUGAAAUACCACCCUUUAAUGUUUGAUGUUCUAACGUUGACCCGUAAUCCGGGUUGCGGACAGUGUCUGGUGGGUAGUUUGACUGGGGCGGUCUCCUCCUAAAGAGUAACGGAGGAGCACGAAGGUUGGCUAAUCCUGGUCGGACAUCAGGAGGUUAGUGCAAUGGCAUAAGCCAGCUUGACUGCGAGCGUGACGGCGCGAGCAGGUGCGAAAGCAGGUCAUAGUGAUCCGGUGGUUCUGAAUGGAAGGGCCAUCGCUCAACGGAUAAAAGGUACUCCGGGGAUAACAGGCUGAUACCGCCCAAGAGUUCAUAUCGACGGCGGUGUUUGGCACCUCGAUGUCGGCUCAUCACAUCCUGGGGCUGAAGUAGGUCCCAAGGGUAUGGCUGUUCGCCAUUUAAAGUGGUACGCGAGCUGGGUUUAGAACGUCGUGAGACAGUUCGGUCCCUAUCUGCCGUGGGCGCUGGAGAACUGAGGGGGGCUGCUCCUAGUACGAGAGGACCGGAGUGGACGCAUCACUGGUGUUCGGGUUGUCAUGCCAAUGGCACUGCCCGGUAGCUAAAUGCGGAAGAGAUAAGUGCUGAAAGCAUCUAAGCACGAAACUUGCCCCGAGAUGAGUUCUCCCUGACCCUUUAAGGGUCCUGAAGGAACGUUGAAGACGACGACGUUGAUAGGCCGGGUGUGUAAGCGCAGCGAUGCGUUGAGCUAACCGGUACUAAUGAACCGUGAGGCUUAACCUU
rnacentral:rRNA from 1 species